GCAGUCGAGCGAAUGGAUUAGAGAGCUUGCUCUUAUGAAGUUAGCGGCGGACGGGUGAGUAACACGUGGGUAACCUGCCCAUAAGACUGGGAUAACUCCGGGAAACCGGGGCUAAUACCGGAUAACAUUUUGAACUGCAUGGUUCGAAAUUGAAAGGCGGCUUCGGCUGUCACUUAUGGAUGGACCCGCGUCGCAUUAGCUAGUU
rnacentral:rRNA from 1 species